rnacentral:lncRNA from 1 species
UGAGGUGAUGGUGAGGUGAUGGUGAGGUGAUGGUGGGGUGAUGGUGAGGUGAUGGUGGGGUGAUGGUGAGGUGAUGGUAAGGUGAUGGUGGGAUUAGAUUGAUGGCGGUGGUUCUUGGUGAGUCUAGAGUCCUGACUUCUGAAGAAGAGUCAGCACAGAAGGCCAAGCGGAGAGGAUAUGGGAAUGGGAAGCAGUGAGCUGGGGGCUUGGUUUGCGUGGGCUGCUAUGAGGACACCCAGUUCCCACCAAGAUCCAUCUGGGAUCUUUUAAGAACAGAAGAUGGAGAAGAGACCCAGGGGAAGGCAGUGGUCUGAGCG